UACGUAGGGUGCAAGCGUUAAUCGGAAUUACUGGGCGUAAAGCGUGCGCAGGCGGUUGUGCAAGACAGGUGUGAAAUCCCCGGGCUUAACCUGGGAACUGCACUUGUGACUGCACGGCUGGAGUACGGCAGAGGGGGAUGGAAUUCCGCGUGUAGCAGUGAAAUGCGUAGAUAUCGAGAGGAACACCUGCGGCGAAGGCGGGUAGCUGGGCCGACACUGACGCUGAGGCGCGAAAGCUAGGGGAGCAAACAGG
rnacentral:rRNA from 1 species